CUGGAUCCCUCUGUAGGGCCUUCUUGCCCUCAAGCCAAUCAACACCUCUUCCCAACUUGGCAUCUCCCGCAGGCUUACUUUGAGUGAGGGUGCACUCAAUCCCUUCGUCCAGACCAUCAAUAAAGAUAUUAAACAGGACUGCCCUCAAUACUGACCCCUGGAGAGCACCUCUUGUGACUCUUCCUCAUCACUGGGAAUGCCAGUUAGGCACCAAGGCAGUGGAAAAUGCCCACGCC
rnacentral:lncRNA from 1 species